rnacentral:rRNA from 1 species
UACGGAGGGUGCGAGCGUUGUCCGGAAUCACUGGGCGUAAAGGGCGCGUAGGCGGCCUGGCAAGUCCGCUGUGAAAGUCCAGGGCUCAACCCUGGAAUGCCGGUGGAAACUGUCGAGCUAGAGUCCGGAAGAGGCGAGUGGAAUUCCUGGGUGUAGCGGUGAAAUGCGCAGAUAUCAGGAGGAACACCAAUGGCGAAGGCAGCUCGCUGGACGGUACUGACGCUGAGACGCGAAGCGUGGAGCAACAGG